GUUUUUCGUUUUAGCGAUUUUAGUUUUAAAAUAAGUUUUGAGUAAACAAAGAUAAAUGUAAUCACAGUGAACCGAACACGUCUUCAUAUUUUUUUUUUUUAACUACAAAAAACAGAAAACGCCAAAGUUACUGAACAUGGCCUAAAGGAACAGCCAAGUAAAAAACACAAGGACAAUUAAACCAGCAACAGGAAAAUCAUUGCUGCACAUACCAACAACUGCAUUGCAACUCUCCUCUAUCACACACAACAUGCAGAUAAAAUACAUCAAAAUGCAACUGCCAAAACCUCAUUGAUAACCCAGCUACUUACCUAAAUUCCCCAUCUAACUUUGUAAAACUAGUUCAUAACUCAUCCUUCAAGCAUGGCCUUGGCAGCAUCAAUCAGCAUUGGCCUGAAAUCAUCAGAUGCUCGACCAAGCACAGUGUACCCUUCCUUGUCUUCCACAUCCACGUCUGCUCCAUGUCUUAUAAGAAGUAGAGCAACGUCUUUGUUAUGGUAAUCGACUGCAUUCAUAAGUGGAGUUUGACCAGCUUUAUCAAUAGCAUCAACCUCAGCUCCUUCCUCGAUUAAAAGUUCACACAAAUCUGACUUCCCUGUACUAGCUGCUCGGUGCAGUGCGGUACAACCAACCUGAACAUGAGUUUCAUAAGGAACAGCAUGAUUCUGAUAUCUGAGCUUAUUUAUCAGCACUACAUCGCACACAUCAAUGCAGUUUAGGUUGAAAUCCUUUUUGUUUUUUAUUUUGAGGAAAGGGAUGAAAUCAAGGUUACUAAUAUAAGAUAAAGAACAGUUGUGUGAAGUUACAAGCCUUGUCCUUCAGAUUAAUCUUAGCACCAUGUGAUAUCAGAAUUUCAGCAAUUUUCAACCAUCCCUUGCUGGCAGCAUAGUGAAGAGCAGUUCGACCACCAUCAUUUUUCAAAUUAACAUCAGCUCCUCUACUUAACAGAAUCUCCACAAUUUCCAGAUUCCCAAUACUGGCAGCAGAGUGCAGUGGUGCCCAACCUUCCUCAUCCUUGUUGUUUACCACACUUUUUGAUUCAUCCACACUGGAUAGUAUUUGCACCACCUCAGGGUGACCUGAAGAGGCAGCGACAUGGAGGAGGGAGCGGCCGUCAUCGUUUAGGAGAGAGAGAGCUUUAGAAAGAUGUUCCGAUGAAAGGGCUUUGAAUGUCGAAGAAUCGCCGGCCUCUGCAGCCUUGAAGAGGUCUUCAUCUUUGAUCUGGUGAUCUGGUUGCUCCAGGGGAUCGAUCUCCAUGGCAAAUUUUGGGGGUCACACACUGACGUAUGGCGUAUGAGGGGUUUUGAAGCAUGUUUGGAAGUAUUUGGAGG
rnacentral:misc_RNA from 1 species